rnacentral:lncRNA from 1 species
UACAACCCCAUCAUAUCCACGUUUCUCUCUCACAUCAACCAAAACCAGACAGGACUUGUAGCUGCUCGUCGCCGGAGACGGUGAAACCCUACCAAGAACUACACAAUAUCUAACUAUCCGGUGCAACCCAACAUUUUUGCAAUAGGAUUUUAGAGGUAAGCCCAAAAUAUUCCUCGAUUAAACCUAAAAAAUACUUUGACGGGAACUUUCAUCUCCGAUAGAUUUCAGUAUCCUAAAGAUUUUUUUUUUCCAGUUAUCCUUCUUCUCUCUAUGUUUUUGUUGGUUAGCCCAUACAAUUUUGUUCUGCGUUAUCCACUAUAGUCUGCCUUCGUCUUCCACAGAUCCUCCCACGAAGCAGCACCCGUCAAUUUCGAAGAUAUGGACGUGUCCACGGUCAUGAGUGGAACUAUCC